rnacentral:tRNA from 1 species
GCCUUCGUGGUGUAACGGUAGCACAUUUGGCGCGUGUUCAAGAGGUCCAGGUUCGAUUCCCGGCGAACGCA